CAAUAGCGUAUAUUAAAGUUGUUGCAGUUAAAAAGCUCGUAGUUGAAUUUUUGCUUGCCGCCGAUGUCGGAACUUCCGUACGUUCGGCGGCGUGCAUCCUUGGGUGGAACCUGUGUGGCAUUAGGUUGUCGUGCAGGGGAUGCUCAUCGUUUACUGUGAAAAAAUUAGAGUGUUCAAAGCAGGCUUACGCCGUUGAAUAUAUUAGCAUGGAAUAAUAAGAUAGGACCUUGGUACUAUUUUGUUGGUUUGCGCACCGAGGCAAUGAUUAACAGGGACAGUUGGGGGUAUUCGUAUUCCAUUGUCAGAGGUGAAAUUCUUGGAUUUCUGGAAGACGAACUACUGCGAAAGCAUUUACCAAGGAUGUUUUCAUUAA
rnacentral:rRNA from 1 species